rnacentral:rRNA from 1 species
UACGGAGGGUGCAAGCGUUAUCCGGAUUUACUGGGUUUAAAGGGUGCGUAGGUGGGUCUGUAAGUCAGUGGUGAAAUCUCCGAGCUUAACUCGGAAACUGCCAUUGAUACUAUAGGUCUUGAAUUAUCUGGAGGUAAGCGGAAUAUGUCAUGUAGCGGUGAAAUGCUUAGAUAUGACAUAGAACACCAAUUGCGAAGGCAGCUUACUACGGAUAUAUUGACACUGAGGCACGAAAGCGUGGGGGAUCAAACAGG